rnacentral:rRNA from 1 species
UACGUAGGGGGCAAGCGUUGUCCGGAAUCAUUGGGCGUAAAGCGCGUGUAGGCGGUCCGGUAAGUCCGCUGUGAAAGUCGGGGGCUCAACCCUCGGAUGCCGGUGGAUACUGUCGGGCUUGAGUACGGAAGAGGCGAGUGGAAUUCCUGGUGUAGCGGUGAAAUGCGCAGAUAUCAGGAGGAACACCUGCGGCGAAGGCGGGUAGCUGGGCCAACACUGACGCUGAAACGCGAAAGCUAGGGGAGCAAACGGG